rnacentral:tRNA from 1 species
AACCGUGUAGCUCAGUUGGCAGAGCAUUGGGCUAGUAUUCCAAAGGUCGUAGGUUCGAUUCCCACCAUGGCCA